GUGCAGCAGGCGCGAAACUUUACAAUGUGCGAAAGCACGACAAGGGAACUCUGAGUGCCUCCUAAGGAGGCUGUUCAGGUGUCUAAAAGCACCUGAAGGAAGGGCUGGGUAAGACCGGUGCCAGCCGCCGCGGUAACACCGGCAGCCCAAGUGGUAGCCACGUUUAUUGGGUCUAAAGCGUCCGUAGCCGGCUGGGUAAGUUCCUUGGGAAAUUUGGCUGCUUAACAGUCAAGCUUUCAGGGAAUACUGCCCGGCUUGGGACCGGGAGAGGUCAGAGGUACUCCAGGGGUAGGGGUGAAAUCCAUUAAUCCUUGGGGGACCACCGGUAGCGAAGGCGUCUGACCAGACCGGGUCCGACGGUGAGGGACGAAGGCUAGGGGGCGCGAACCGGAUUAGAUACCCC
rnacentral:rRNA from 1 species